UGGGGAAUAUUGGGCAAUGGGCGCAAGCCUGACCCAGCAACGCCGCGUGAAGGAAGAAGGCUUUCGGGUUGUAAACUUCUUUUAUCAGGGACGAACAGAUGACGGUACCUGAUGAAUAAGCCACGGCUAACUACGUGCCAGCAGCCGCGGUAAUACGUAGGUGGCAAGCGUUAUCCGGAUUUACUGGGUGUAAAGGGCGUGUAGGCGGGAUUGCAAGUCAGAUGUGAAAACUCGGAGCUCAACUCCGAGCCUGCAUUUGAAACUGUAGUUCUUGAGUACUGGAGAGGCAGACGG
rnacentral:rRNA from 1 species